GAUCCUGACUCAGGACGAACGCUGUCGGCGUGCUUAACACAUGCAAGUCGAACGAGAAUCUACUGAAAGAGUUUUCGGACAAUGGAAGUAGAGGAAAGUGGCGGACGGGUGAGUAACGCGUGAGGAACCUGCCUUGAAGAGGGGGACGAACAGUUGGAAACGACUGCUAAUACCGCAUGACGCAUAGAGGUCGCAUGAUCUUUAUGCCAAAGAUUUAUCGCUUCAAGAUGGCCUCGCG
rnacentral:rRNA from 1 species